AUACAAUCAUAGUGGGGGAUUUUAACACUCCCCAUUGUCAUCAAUGAAUAGAUCUUCCAAACAGAAAAUUAUCAAAGAAACAG